UACGUAGGGCGCAAGCGUUGUCCGGAAUUAUUGGGCGUAAAGAGCUCGUAGGCGGUUUGUCGCGUCUGCUGUGAAAACCUAAGGCUCAACCUUGGGCUUGCAGUGGGUACGGGCAGACUAGAGUGCGGUAGGGGAGACUGGAAUUCCUGGUGUAGCGGUGAAAUGCGCAGAUAUCAGGAGGAACACCGGUGGCGAAGGCGGGGUCUCUGGGCCGUAACUGACGC
rnacentral:rRNA from 1 species